rnacentral:lncRNA from 1 species
UUUUUUUCUGCUGAGGAAGAUUGCCCUGACAUCUGCUGCCAACCUUCCUGUUUUUUUUGGAUGUGAGCUGCCACCACAGCAUGGCCACUGACAGAUGAGUGGUGUAGUGGGAACCAAACCCCGGUUGCCGAAGUGAAGCAUACCAGACUUAACCACUAGGCCACUCAGGGUGGCCCCCACAUUUCUAAAAUGGUACAAAAGUUACAAAUACACUGAAUGAAAAUGCCUUCUUCCCAAAUUUUUCUGAUGAUCUUUCACAUAUUUUUGGUGACCCUGCUUCCCUGUUGUCUUAGACACGUGUUCAAUGAGUAAUAGGUAAUCAGCGCUGGUCUUCAUACUCCAGGGGGUGAACAAGGAUAAGGACAGAGACAACACUCAAAAACCACACUUACAGAAUUUUUAUAAAUGUUGGAUUAUACCGACAGAGGUUAACUGAGCUUUCCAGUUGUGGGUCCCUCUAGUUGUAGCAUGUGGGAUGCCGCCUCAGCCUGGGGUGCCAUGUCCAAGCCCAGGAUCCGAACUGGAGAAACCCUGGGCCGCGGAAACGCAGCGCCCGAACUUAACCACUCAGCCACAGGGCCGGACCCAACUACGUUUUUUUAAAUCCAUCCAUCAUUGGACAUUUGGGUUGCUUCCACCUUUUGGCUAUUGUGGAUAGUGCUGCUAUGAACACGUGUGUACGAAUAUCUGUUCAAG